GGUAUCGCAAGUCUACCACAGAGAACGAUCUUCAAAGAAUAAACCAAUAAAACCAUGGUGUAAAUGUGGUUAAGCCAAUCAGCCAUGCUAAAUCACUCCAGAUGUGUUUUAUAUAUUUUGUAAACAAUGUACAGUUGUUUAAGACAUGCACCAGCUGAUGCUGUGUUUAAUAGAACGUGUAAGAGUGAUUGUCAUUUACAUCAUUGACGGUGUCUGUCACAAGGCAGAAAAAUAACUGCAGUGGCCAAUGAUAAGAACUGGAACUUCAGUGUAAGAGAGUCCAUUUGGCAAGAAACUACAGUGAAAGAAAGUUCUCCAUGUCUAUCCUCUUUAGUCAGGGCUAGUCAGAGAAAAAAAUGCCCACAUUUGAGCUGUACCAGCAGAAGCUUCUUCCAGUCAGGGCUCAGUGGGAUACACAAGAUGUUUUUUUUCCUUCCCUCCUUCCUCUAGCCUUUCUUCCUGUAAUAUAAAUGCACUUCAUUCUCUUCUGCUGUGGCUGUGCUUAACCUUGCUGCCACAAAAAGAAAAACUGCAUCUUGUCUUGGUUGCCCUGGGAAGCUCUAUAGGCUAGAACAGGGUGAAGUGGUGGAAUUCCCUGCAAGACCCUGAUGCCUGCUGGCUGGCAUGAGAAGGACCUACACAUCUGGGAAAUGGAGUUCCAGGUUCAAUUGCUCUCCACUUUAAAGGAUGGCUGUAUUUCUAAGUGCCUUCCAGGGACUUUUGUGAACAGGAACAGUACAUUGUCCCUCCAGGAUGGAGGGAGUUGUGUUCCUGCCCUGUGACCAUCUCCAAGCCACGUGGCCAGAGAUUAAAAACUACAUGUGCAAGACUAUGGAUGCAUCUAUAAAGAAACAGGAAAAACAAGACCCAUAUGCACAUUCAGAGCAUGAGAAAGGCCCAAGAUGCCUUAACUUCCUACAUGAUCUUAAUUUUCACAAAAAUGUCUCAUUUUGUUCCAAAAACACCCAUUUCAAUAUGAACGCAAAUAAUUCAACUGCCCUUCUGCUGUAGAUUGAAUUGGCUUAAAAGAUAUGUUGCCUUUUGCAUGGACAUAGCUGAGACUGUGCUUCAGUUCUCUGGCUAUUUUUACACUGCCUGUCCUUCAGAAAAGAAGAUCUGACACAGCACAGAAUAUAUAAAAAAGAAGGGUAACAUAGGAUCCAAGUGUAUUAAAUAAAUAAAUACUCUUUGUAGGAGACA
rnacentral:lncRNA from 1 species